rnacentral:rRNA from 1 species
AUCAGUGGCGAACGGGUGAGUAACACGUGAGCAAUCUGCCCGUGACUCUGGGAUAAGCGCUGGAAACGGCGUCUAAUACCGGAUACGAGCUGCGAAGGCAUCUUCAGCAGCUGGAAAGAAUUUCGGUCAGGGAUGAGCUCGCGGCCUAUCAGCUUGUUGGUGAGGUAAUGGCUCACCAAGGCGUCGACGGGUAGCCGGCCUGAGAGGGUGACCGGCCACACUGGGACUGAGACACGGCCCAGACUCCUACGGGAGGCAGCAGUGGGGAAUAUUGCACAAUGGGCGAAAGCCUGAUGCAGCAACGCCGCGUGAGGGAUGACGGCCUUCGGGUUGUAAACCUCUUUUAGCAAGGAAGAAGCGAAAGUGACGGUACUUGCAGAAAAAGCGCCGGCUAACUACGUGCCAGCAGCCGCGGUAAUACGUAGGGCGCAAGCGUUAUCCGGAAUUAUUGGGCGUAAAGAGCUCGUAGGCGGUCUGUCGCGUCUGCUGUGAAAACCCGAGGCUCAACCUCGGGCCUGCAGUGGGUACGGGCAGACUAGAGUGCGGUAGGGGAGAUUGGAAUUCCUGGUGUAGCGGUGGAAUGCGCAGAUAUCAGGAGGAACACCGAUGGCGAAGGCAGAUCUCUGGGCCGUAACUGACGCUGAGGAGCGAAAGGGUGGGGAGCAAACAGGCUUAGAUACCCUGGUAGUCCACGCCCUAAACGAUGAACACUCGCUGUUGGCGAUA